rnacentral:rRNA from 1 species
UACGAAGGGGGCUGGCGUUGUUCGGAAUUACUGGGCGUAAAGCGCGCGCAGGCGGCUAUCCAAGUCAGUGGUGAAAGCCCGGAGCUCAACUCCGGAACUGCCAUUGAAACUGUUUAGCUUGAGGAUGAGAGAGGUGAGUGGAAUUCCCAGUGUAGAGGUGAAAUUCGUAGAUAUUGGGAAGAACACCGGUGGCGAAGGCGGCUCACUGGCUCAUUACUGACGCUCAGGCGCGAUAGCGUGGGGAUCAAACAGG